rnacentral:rRNA from 1 species
UACAGAGGGUGCGAGCGUUAAUCGGAAUUACUGGGCGUAAAGGGUGCGCAGGCGGCCGGGUGUGUCAGAUGUGAAAUCCCGAGGCUCAACCUCGGAACUGCGUCUGAAACUACUCGGCUAGAGUACUGGAGAGGGUAACGGAAUUCACGGUGUAGCAGUGAAAUGCGUAGAUAUCGUGAGGAACACCAGAGGCGAAGGCGGUUACCUGGACAGUUACUGACGCUCAGGCACGAAAGCAUGGGGAGCAAAAGGG